GAUGAACGCUGGCGGCGUGCCUAAUACAUGCAAGUCGAGCGAACAGACGAGGAGCUUGCUCCUUUGACGUUAGCGGCGGACGGGUGAGUAACACGUGGGUAACCUACCUAUAAGACUGGGAUAACUUCGGGAAACCGGAGCUAAUACCGGAUAAUAUUUCGAACCGCAUGGUUCGAUAGUGAAAGAUGGCUUUGCUAUCACUUAUAGAUGGACCUGCGCCGUAUUAGCUAGUUGGUAAGGUAACGGCUUACCAAGGCAACGAUACGUAGCCGACCUGAGAGGGUGAUCGGCCACACUGGAACUGAGACAUGGUCCAGACUCCUACGGGAGGCAGCAGUAGGGAAUCUUCCGCAAUGGGCGAAAGCCUGACCGAGCAACGCCGCGUGAGUGAUGAAGGUCUUCGGAUCGUAAAACUCUGUUAUUAGGGAAGAACAAACGUGUAAGUAACUGUGCACGUCUUGACGGUACCUAAUCAGAAAGCCACGGCUAACUACGUG
rnacentral:rRNA from 1 species